AGCACCCCUGGGUACAGGUCCUGGUAUUCAGCAUCAUAGCAAGACAAAUGGGGGUGGCCUACUUUGUACAUAGUGGUGCCUCCCAGAGGAUUCCUGUAAGCUAAAUCAAGAGGAAUGUGAUAUUAUGCUUAAGUAGGGAAUUGUAGAGCCUUCCAUGUCACUUUGGCUCUCUCCUAUAGUUUUAGUCUGGAAGUAAAAUGCCAACACAUGCUUUUGUAUUGAUUUCAGACAACUUAACUCCAAGAACAGAUAGUUAUCCCAUGCCACGAAUUGAGGAACUGCUUGAUGAGCUACAUAGCAAAUAUUCCAGCCCCUAAGAGGGUUAAGGAGUCUUAAAGAAACCAGAUUUUGACCGACCUUUUGAGAUCCACUCAGGAGUUGCAAUUGGCGCAUGUCUUAUGCAAGAUGAUGAUAAUGGCCAUUUCCAUCCCAUGGGUUAUUUCUCUUGGAAACUCAGGGAUGCAGAGAUUGGGGUCUUCAUCAGUUGUACCACAAGCCCUCAGUAGUGAGGCAUUUCGACUUACUCAUUCUACCUUCACUGCAGCUCAUCAAGGGACUUACCGCACAUACUGUAAGUUAUGUGACAUGUUUUAAUUUCCAAACAUGCUUUGUACAAUGAAAGAUUAUGUUUCCAGCUAUCAGGCUUGUCUACAACGUAAAGGUGCAGCCUAUCGGGCACCU